CAGUAGCCACGGUAAUACAGAGGGUGCGAGCGUUAAUCGGAUUUACUGGGCGUAAAGCGUGCGUAGGCGGCUUCUUAAGUCGGAUGUGAAAUCCCUGAGCUUAACUUAGGAAUUGCAUUCGAUACUGGGAAGCUAGAGUAUGGGAGAGGAUGGUAGAAUUCCAGGUGUAGCGGUGAAAUGCGUAGAGAUCUGGAGGAAUACCGAUGGCGAAGGCAGCCAUCUGGCCUAAUACUGACGCUGAGGUACGAAAGCAUGGGGAGCAAACAGGAUUAGAUACCCGCGUAGUCCCUGUCUCUUAUAA
rnacentral:rRNA from 1 species